CCUACGGGUGGCAGCAGUGGGGGAUAUUGCGCAAUGGGGGAAAGCCUGAUGCAGCGACGCCGCGUGGGUGAAGAAGUAUUUCGGAAUGUAAAGCCCUAUCAGCAGGGAAGAAGAAAUGACGGUACCUGAGUAAGAAGCACCGGCUAAAUAUGUGCGAGCAGCCGCGGUAAUACGUAGGGGGCAGGCGUUAUCCGGAUUUACUGGGUGUAAAGGGAGCGCAGGCGGGACGGCAAGCCUGAUGUGAAAGCCCGCGGCUCAACCGCGGGACUGCAUUGGGAACUACCGGGCUGGAGUGCCGGAGAGGUAGGCGGAAUUCCUAGUGUAGCGGUGAAAUGCGUAGAUAUUAGGAGGAACACCAGUGGCGAAGGCGGCCUACUGGACGGUGACUGACGCUGAGGCGCGAAAGCGUGGGGAGCAAACAGGAUUAGAUACCCUUGUAGUC
rnacentral:rRNA from 1 species